CAGUCGCCGCGGUAAAACGAAGGGUGCAAGCGUUAAUCGGAAUUACUGGGCGUAAAGCGUGCGUAGGCGGUGAGUUAAGUCUGCUGUGAAAUCCCCGGGCUCAACCUGGGAAUGGCAGUGGAUACUGGCUCGCUAGAGUGUGUCAGAGGAUGGUGGAAUUCCCGGUGUAGCGGUGAAAUGCGUAGAUAUCGGAAGGAACACCUGUGGCGAAAGCGGCUCACUGGACCAUUUCUGACGCUGAUGCACGAAAGCUAGGGGAGCAAACAGGAUUAGAUACCCGUGUAGUCCCUGUCUCUUAUAC
rnacentral:rRNA from 1 species